rnacentral:rRNA from 1 species
UACGGAGGGUGCGAGCGUUGUCCGGAAUCACUGGGCGUAAAGCGCACGUAGGCGGGUUGUUAAGUCGGGGGUGAAAUCCUGGAGCUCAACUCCAGAACUGCCUUCGAUACUGGCGACCUUGAGUCCGGGAGAGGUGAGUGGAACUCCGAGUGUAGAGGUGAAAUUCGUAGAUAUUCGGAAGAACACCAGUGGCGAAGGCGGCUCACUGGCCCGGUACUGACGCUGAGGUGCGAAAGCGUGGGGAGCAAACAGG